rnacentral:rRNA from 1 species
UGGGCAGGUUGAAGAUUGAGUAACAUCAAUUGGAGGACCGAACCGACUAAUGUUGAAAAAUUAGCGGAUGACUUGUGGCUAGGGGUGAAAGGCCAAUCAAACUCGGAGAUAGCUGGUUCUCCCCGAAAGCUAUUUAGGUAGCGCCUCGGACGAAUACUACUGGGGGUAGAGCACUGUUAAGGCUAGGGGGUCAUCCCGACUUACCAACCCUUUGCAAACUCCGAAUACCAGUAAGUACUAUCCGGGAGACACACGGCGGGUGCUAACGUCCGUCGUGAAGAGGGAAACAACCCAGACCGCCAGCUAAGGUCCCAAAGUUAUAGCUAAGUGGGAAACGAUGUGGGAAGGCUCAGACAGCCAGGAUGUUGGCUUAGAAGCAGCCAUCAUUUAAAGAAAGCGUAAUAGCUCACUGGUCGAGUCGGCCUGCGCGGAAGAUUUAACGGGGCUAAGCUAUACACCGAAGCUGCGGCAAUGUGCUUAUGCACAUUGGGUAGGGGAGCGUUCUGUAAGCCGUUGAAGGUGCAUUGUAAAGUGUGCUGGAGGUAUCAGAAGUGCGAAUGCUGACAUGAGUAACGACAAAGGGAGUGAAAAACUCCCUCGCCGGAAGACCAAGGGUUCCUGUCCAACGUUAAUCGGGGCAGGGUGAGUCGACCCCUAAGGCGAGGCCGAAAGGCGUAGUCGAUGGGAAACGGGUUAAUAUUCCCGUACUUCUUACUAUUGCGAUGGGGGGACGGAGAAGGCUAGGUGAGCCUGGCGACGGUUGUCCAGGUCUAAGUACGUAGGUGGAUGAAUUAGGCAAAUCCGGUUCAUCACUAACACUGAGAUACGAUGUCGAGCUACUACGGUAGCGAAGUCAUUGAUGCCAUGCUUCCGGGAAAAGCCUCUAAGCUUCAGAUAGUAAGAAAUCGUACCCCAAACCGACACAGGUGGUCGGGUAGAGAAUACCAAGGCGCUUGAGAGAACUCGGGUGAAGGAACUAGGCAAAAUGGUACCGUAACUUCGGGAGAAGGUACGCUCUUAACGGUGAAGUCCCUCGCGGAUGGAGCUGUCGAGAGUCGCAGAUACCAGGUGGCUGCAACUGUUUAUUAAAAACACAGCACUGUGCAAAAUCGAAAGAUGACGUAUACGGUGUGACGCCUGCCCGGUGCCGGAAGGUUAAUUGAUGGGGUUAGACGUAAGUCGAAGCUCUUGAUCGAAGCCCCGGUAAACGGCGGCCGUAACUAUAACGGUCCUAAGGUAGCGAAAUUCCUUGUCGGGUAAGUUCCGACCUGCACGAAUGGCGUAAUGAUGGCCACGCUGUCUCCACCCGAGACUCAGUGAAAUUGAAAUCGCUGUGAAGAUGCAGCGUACCCGCGGCUAGACGGAAAGACCCCGUGAACCUUUACUACAGCUUGGCACUGAACAUUGACCCUACAUGUGUAGGAUAGGUGGGAGACUUUGAAACGCAGACGCCAGUUUGCGUGGAGUCGUCCUUGAAAUACCACCCUUGUAGUGUUGAUGUUCUAACUUGGCCCCAUCAUCUGGGGUGAGGACAGUGCCUGGUGGGUAGUUUGACUGGGGCGGUCUCCUCCCAAAGAGUAACGGAGGAGCACGAAGGUGGGCUAAUCACGGUCGGACAUCGUGAGGUUAGUGCAAUGGCAUAAGCCCGCUUAACUGCGAGAAUGACGGUUCGAGCAGGUGCGAAAGCAGGUCAUAGUGAUCCGGUGGUUCUGUAUGGAAGGGCCAUCGCUCAACGGAUAAAAGGUACUCCGGGGAUAACAGGCUGAUACCGCCCAAGAGUUCAUAUCGACGGCGGUGUUUGGCACCUCGAUGUCGGCUCAUCACAUCCUGGGGCUGAAGUCGGUCCCAAGGGUAUGGCUGUUCGCCAUUUAAAGUGGUACGCGAGCUGGGUUUAGAACGUCGUGAGACAGUUCGGUCCCUAUCUGCCGUGGGCGUUGGAUGAUUGAGAGGGGCUGCUCCUAGUACGAGAGGACCGGAGUGGACGAACCUCUGGUGUUCGGGUUGUGUCGCCAGACGCAUUGCCCGGUAGCUAAGUUCGGAAUCGAUAACCGCUGAAAGCAUCUAAGCGGGAAGCGAGCCUCAAGAUGAGUCAUCCCUGAUACUUUAAGUAUCCUAAAGGGUUGUUGGAGACUACGACGUAGAUAGGCAGGGUGUGUAAGCGCUGUGAGGCGUUGAGCUAACCUGUACUAAUUGCCCGUGAGGCUUAACCAU